rnacentral:rRNA from 1 species
CAUGUGGCUUAAUUUGACUCAACGCGGGAAAUCUUACCGGGUCCGGACACACUGAGGAUUGACAGGCAAUAUAUGUGACUCUUCGGAGUUUGCAUUGUUAAAUAUGCUAGUCCUUUCAUGAUUAUGUGAUAGGUGGUGCAUGGCCGUUCUUAGUUCGUGGAGUGAUCUGUCUGCUUAAUUGCGUUUCAAAUUACUUAUAAGGUAGCAAUACGCGAUGAAGCUUUCAAUAGUCCNCNCGGAUUCACUUGAGUCUCUCGCUUCGCUAUCCUUUC